UACGUAGGGUGCGAGCGUUGUCCGGAAUUACUGGGCGUAAAGAGCUCGUAGGUGGUUUGUCGCGUUGUUCGUGAAAACUCACAGCUCAACUGUGGGCGUGCGGGCGAUACGGGCAGACUAGAGUACUGCAGGGGGAGACUGGAAUUCCUGGUGUAGCGGUGGAAUGCGCAGAUAUCAGGAGGAACACCGGUGGCGAAGGCGGGUCUCUGGGCAGUAACUGACGCUGAGGAGCAAAAGCGUGGGGAGCGAACAGG
rnacentral:rRNA from 1 species